rnacentral:rRNA from 1 species
UACGUAGGGUGCAAGCGUUGUUCGGAAUUACUGGGCGUAAAGCGCGCGUAGGCGGGCUUGAAAGUUGAUUGUGAAAGCCCUGGGCUUAACCCGGGAAUGGCAGUCAAAACUUCAAGUCUUGAGUGCCUGAGAGGAUGGCGGAAUUCCCGGUGUAGUGAUGAAAUGCGUAGAUAUCGGGAAGGAACACCUGUAGGCGAAGGCGGCUACUGCGUCGUUCUUGACGCUGAGGCGCGAAAGCUAGGGGAGCAAACGGG